AGCGAACGCUGGCGGCAGGCUUAACACAUGCAAGUCGAGCGGGCACUUCGGUGUCAGCGGCAGACGGGUGAGUAACACGUGGGAACGUACCCUUUGGUUCGGAAUAACGCUGGGAAACUAGCGCUAAUACCGGAUACGCCCUUUUGGGGAAAGGCUUGCUGCCGAAGGAUCGGCCCGCGUCUGAUUAGCUAGUUGGUGGGGUAAUGGCCUACCAAGGCGACGAUCAGUAGCUGGUCUGAGAGGAUGAUCAGCCACACUGGGACUGGGACACGGCCCAGACUCCUACGGGAGGCAGCAGUGGGGAAUAUUGGACAAUGGGCGCAAGCCUGAUCCAGCCAUGCCGCGUGAGUGAUGAAGGCCUUAGGGUUGUAAAGCUCUUUUGUCCGGGACGAUAAUGACGGUACCGGAAGAAUAAGCCCCGGCUAACUUCGUG
rnacentral:rRNA from 1 species